CCUACGGGAGGCAGCAGUGGGGAAUAUUGCACAAUGGGGGAAACCCUGAUGCAGCGACGCCGCGUGAGUGAAGAAGUAUCUCGGUAUGUAAAGCUCUAUCAGCAGGAAAGAUAAUGACGGUACCUGACUAAGAAGCCCCGGCUAACUACGUGCCAGCAGCCGCGGUAAUACGUAGGGGGCAAGCGUUAUCCGGAUUUACUGGGUGUAAAGGGAGCGCAGGCGGCACGGCAAGUCUGAUGUGAAAACCCGGGGCUCAACCCCGGGACUGCAUUGGACACUGCCGGGCUGGAGUGUCGGAAGGGUAA
rnacentral:rRNA from 1 species